AAGGAAUCACUGGAGGUCGUCAGUGUAGAAUUAAAGAUUCACUGUCAUAAGUGUCACUCUGGAGACUUUUUUUUUGUUGUUAAAAGGUCUGACUCCAUUUCUAUUUGAAGUGGGGAUGGAUUUCCUGUAUUCAGAUCAGAGGGUAAAGGUAACUGGAACUUCUACAAAAAGCACUUAGUGAGGAUGUGCAGAGAGUUGAUGUGUGCUUUAUGUGUGGAUAUGUGUGUGUGUCUGUGUGUGUGUGUGUGUGUGCAUGCGUGCACCUUAUUAGAUGCCAAUCCAGUCCAGUAGAUUCUAUCAACUAGCCUCUAAACAGGAGACAAGAACUGAUCUGUAUCACCUAAGGAAGAUCAACAUGGCCUUGGAAAGCCUCAACAAAACAAAUUUUCAGCAAAAGGCAAAGAUUCCGUUACUGUCUUGCUGUACACCAAAAGGGUUCCCUGGAAAGCAGACAAACGUGAAAAGAACAUGUGUCACUGCAGAGCAUCAACUGGGAAAGUGUCUUGAAGAAAAGAGAAUAUGUUAGUGAUUAAAAAAAAUAAAUAAAUAAAUACAACCUUUUUUGUACAGAGAUAUAUUUUUAUGGAAUACAUUUGUAAUAUAAGAAUAAUGGAUUGGCAUAUGUAAUUUUUUUUUUCUUUUCAUCAUUAUAGUACAAAUGCUAGUGGGGAGUAUAUGAAAAGUCUAUAUAUAUAUAUAUAUACACUAAGGAAAAUAGAAACAGGCUUUUUUGUAUGUGUAUAAAAUAUUGUAUAUAAAAAAGUUUGCAUACCUCCAUACUGUACAUAUGUAAGACCCACCAUGGCUUGUCUGCAUUAUAUAAAGUGUAUUUUAUCCAUCUGUAUAUGAUGCUUUGCCUUGUGUCUGAGCUUACUUUCUUGAACUUGAAACUUAUUUUGAAGCUUUUGGAAUAAAAUAUAAAACCUA